rnacentral:rRNA from 1 species
AUAACGGUCCUAAGGUAGCGAAAUUCCUUGUCGGGUAAGUUCCGACCUGCACGAAAGGCGCAACGACUUGGGCGCUGUCUCGACCAUGGACCCGGUGAAAUUGCACUGGUCGUGAAGAUGCGACUUACCCGCGGAAGGACGGAAAGACCCCGUGAACCUUCACUGCAGCUUGGCAUUGGCCGCUGGUCCCGCGUGUAGAGGAUAGGCAGGAGGCGAAGAUCCGGAGGCGCCAGCCCCCGGGGAGCCGCCCUUGGAAUACUGCCCUCGCGCGACCGGCGUCCUAACCCGAGGCCGUCAACCGGCUCGGGGACCGUGCCAGGCGGGCAGUUUGACUGGGGCGGUCGCCUCCUAAAGGGUAACGGAGGCGCGCGAAGGUCCGCUCGGGACGGUCGGCAACCGUCCUUUUGAAUGCAAGAGUACAAGCGGGCUUGACUGCGAGGCCCACAAGCCGAGCAGGUGCGAAAGCAGGCUCUAGUGAUCCGGCGGCCCCGAGUGGGUGGGCCGUCGCUCAACGGAUAAAAGGUACUCCGGGGAUAACAGGCUGAUCUUGCCCAAGAGUCCACAUCGACGGCAAGGUUUGGCACCUCGAUGUCGGCUCAUCGCAUCCUGGGGCUGGAGCAGGUCCCAAGGGUACGGCUGUUCGCCGUUUAAAGCGGUACGCGAGCUGGGUUCAGAACGUCGUGAGACAGUUCGGUCCCUAUCCUCCGUGGGCGCAAGAGAAUUGAGAGGAUCUGUCCCUAGUACGAGAGGACCGGGAUGGACGCACCUCUGGUGCCGCAGUUGUCGACCAACGGCACAGCUGCCUAGCUACGUGCGGAACGGAUAACCGCUGAAAGCAUCUAAGCGGGAAGCCGGCCUCGAGAUGAGUUCUCUCUUCGGUAAGGCCACUUGUAGACCACAAGUUCGAUAGGCCGCAGCUGCAAGCCCCGCGAGGGGCUCAGGCGAGCGGUACUAAUCGGCCGAGCUCUUCAUCUC